AACCCAGUGCAAUUCGUUGCACUAUCGUUAACUGAAUCCAUAGGUUAACGAGGCGAACCGGGGGAACUGAAACAUCUAAGUACCCCGAGGAAAAGAAAUCAACCGAGAUUCCCCCAGUAGCGGCGAGCGAACGGGGAGCAGCCCAGAGCCUGAAUCAGCAUGUGUGGUAGUGGAACGGUCUGGAAAGGCCGGCGAUACAGGGUGACAGCCCCGUACACAAAAUUGCAUGUGCUGUGAGCUCGAUGAGUAGGGCGGGACACGUGGUAUCCUGUCUGAAUAUGGGGGGACCAUCCUCCAAGGCUAAAUACUCCUGACUGACCGAUAGUGAACCAGUACCGUGAGGGAAAGGCGAAAAGAACCCCGGCGAGGGGAGUGAAAAAGAACCUGAAACCGUGUACGUACAAGCAGUGGGAGCCUCUUUAUGGGGUGACUGCGUACCUUUUGUAUAAUGGGUCAGCGACUUAUAUUCUGUAGCAAGGUUAACCGAAUAGGGGAGCCGAAGGGAAACCGAGUCUUAACUGGGCGUUAAGUUGCAGGGUAUAGACCCGAAACCCGGUGAUCUAGCCAUGGGCAGGUUGAAGGUUGGGUAACACUAACUGGAGGACCGAACCGACUAAUGUUGAAAAAUUAGCGGAUGACUUGUGGCUGGGGGUGAAAGGCCAAUCAAACCGGGAGAUAGCUGGUUCUCCCCGAAAGCUAUUUAGGUAGCGCCUCGUGAAUUCAUCUCCGGGGGUAGAGCACUGUUUCGGCUAGGGGGCCAUCCCGGCUUACCAACCCGAUGCAAACUGCGAAUACCGGAGAAUGUUAUCACGGGAGACACACGGCGGGUGCUAACGUCCGUCGUGAAGAGGGAAACAACCCAGACCGCCAGCUAAGGUCCCAAAGUCAUGGUUAAGUGGGAAACGAUGUGGGAAGGCUCAGACAGCCAGGAUGUUGGCUUAGAAGCAGCCAUCAUUUAAAGAAAGCGUAAUAGCUCACUGGUCGAGUCGGCCUGCGCGGAAGAUGUAACGGGGCUAAACCAUGCACCGAAGCUGCGGCAGCGACACGAAGUGUUGUUGGGUAGGGGAGCGUUCUGUAAGCCUGUGAAGGUGUGCUGUGAGGCAUGCUGGAGGUAUCAGAAGUGCGAAUGCUGACAUAAGUAACGAUAAAGCGGGUGAAAAGCCCGCUCGCCGGAAGACCAAGGGUUCCUGUCCAACGUUAAUCGGGGCAGGGUGAGUCGACCCCUAAGGCGAGGCCGAAAGGCGUAGUCGAUGGGAAACAGGUUAAUAUUCCUGUACCAGGUGUUACUGCGAAGGGGGGACGGAGAAGGCUAUGUUGGCCGGGCGACGGUUGUCCCGGUUUAAGCGUGUAGGUGUGUGUUCCAGGUAAAUCCGGUUCACUUUAACACUGAGGCGUGAUGACGAGGCACUACGGUGCUGAAGCAACAAAUGCCCUGCUUCCAGGAAAAGCCUCUAAGCAUCAGGUAACAUCAGAUCGUACCCCAAACCGACACAGGUGGUCAGGUAGAGAAUACCAAGGCGCUUGAGAGAACUCGGGUGAAGGAACUAGGCAAAAUGGUGCCGUAACUUCGGGAGAAGGCACGCUGAUAUGUAGGUGAAGCGAUUUACUCGUGGAGCUGAAAUCAGUCGAAGAUACCAGCUGGCUGCAACUGUUUAUUAAAAACACAGCACUGUGCAAACACGAAAGUGGACGUAUACGGUGUGACGCCUGCCCGGUGCCGGAAGGUUAAUUGAUGGGGUUAUCCGUAAGGAGAAGCUCUUGAUCGAAGCCCCGGUAAACGGCGGCCGUAACUAUAACGGUCCUAAGGUAGCGAAAUUCCUUGUCGGGUAAGUUCCGACCUGCACGAAUGGCGUAAUGAUGGCCAGGCUGUCUCCACCCGAGACUCAGUGAAAUUGAACUCGCUGUGAAGAUGCAGUGUACCCGCGGCAAGACGGAAAGACCCCGUGAACCUUUACUAUAGCUUGACACUGAACACUGGUCCUUGAUGUGUAGGAUAGGUGGGAGGCUUUGAAGCGCG
rnacentral:rRNA from 1 species